rnacentral:rRNA from 1 species
AGGGCGCACGGUGGAUGCCUUGGCACUAAGAGCCGAUGAAGGACGUGACUAACGACGAUAUUCUAGGGGGAGCAGUAAGUACGCAUUGAUCCCUAGGUCUCCGAAUGGGGAAACCCAGCUGCUACUAGCAGUUAUUCAUGAGUGAAUACAUAGCUCAUGUAAAGGUAACGCAGAGAACUGAAACAUCUAAGUACCUGCAGGAAGAGAAAGUAAAAACGAUUUCGUAAGUAGCGGCGAGCGAACGCGAAGAAGGGCAAACCAAGAAGCUUGCUUCUUGGGGUUGUAGGACUGCAACGUGGACUUAAGCAUUAUAGUCGAAUAACCUGGGAAGGUUAAUCAAAGAGGGUAAUAAUCCCGUAGACGAAAUAGCGCUUAUACCUAGCAGUAUCCUGAGUAGGGCUGGACACGCGAAAUCCAGUUUGAAUCCGGGAGGACCAUCUCCCAACCCUAAAUACUCCUUAGUGACCGAUAGUGAACCAGUACCGUGAGGGAAAGGUGAAAAGAACCCCGAGAGGGGAGUGAAAUAGCACCUGAAACCGUGUGCCUACAAGAAGUUCGAGCCCGUUAAUGGGUGAGAGCGUGCCUUUUGUAGAAUGAACCGGCGAGUUACGUUAUGAUGCGAGGUUAAGUUGAAGAGACGGAGCCGUAGGGAAACCGAGUCUGAAUAGGGCGACUUAGUAUCAUGAUGUAGACCCGAAACCUAGUGACCUAUCCAUGAGCAGGGUGAAGGUGUGGUAAGACGCACUGGAGGCCCGAACCAGGACACGUUGAAAAGUGUUUGGAUGACUUGUGGAUAGCGGAGAAAUUCCAAACGAACUGGGAGAUAGCUGGUUCUCUCCGAAAUAGCUUUAGGGCUAGCGUCGAAAUGUAAGUGUAUUGGAGGUAGAGCACUGUUUGGGUGAGGGGUCCGUCUAGGAUUACCAAUCUCAGAUAAACUCCGAAUGCUAAUACACAUGUUCGGCAGUCAGACUGCGAGUGCUAAGAUCCGUAGUCGAAAGGGAAACAGCCCAGACCAACAGCUAAGGUCCCAAAAUAUAUGUUAAGUGGAAAAGGAUGUGGGGUUGCACAGACAACUAGGAUGUUAGCUCAGAAGCAGCUAUCAUUCAAAGAGUGCGUAAUAGCUCACUAGUCGAGUGACCCUGCGCCGAAAAUGUACCGGGGCUAAACAUAUUACCGAAGCUUUGGAUUUAAUUUAAUUAAAUGGUAGGAGAGCGUUCUUAACCGCGAUGAAGGUAUACCGUGAGGAGUGCUGGAGCGUUAAGAAGUGAGAAUGCCGGUAUGAGUAGCGCAAGAUAAGUGAGAAUCUUAUCCACCGUAAGACUAAGGUUUCCAGGGGAAGGCUCGUCCGCCCUGGGUUAGUCGGGACCUAAGGCGAGGCCGAAAGGCGUAGUCGAUGGACAACUGGUUGAUAUUCCAGUACUAGAUAUGAUCGUGAUGGAGGGACGCAGUAGGCUAAGAGAUGCCAGUUAAUGGAUUCUGGUCUAAGCAGUGAGGUGUGAGAUGUGUCAAAUGCAUUUCUCUUUAACAUUGAGCUGUGAUGGGGAAGCAACUACGGUUGCGAACUCUCUGAUGUCACACUGCCAAGAAAAGCUUCUAGCGUAAAGUCAUAUCUACCCGUACCGCAAACCGACACAGGUAGUCGAGGCGAGUAGCCUCAGGUGAUCGAGAGAACUCUCGUUAAGGAACUCGGCAAAAUGACCCCGUAACUUCGGGAGAAGGGGUGCUGUAGAAAUACAGCCGCAGUGAAAAGAUCCAAGCAACUGUUUAUCAAAAACACAGCUCUCUGCUAAACCGCAAGGUGAUGUAUAGGGGGUGACGCCUGCCCGGUGCUGGAAGGUUAAGAGGAGUGCUUAGACGUAAGUCGAAGGUAUGAAUUGAAGCCCCAGUAAACGGCGGCCGUAACUAUAACGGUCCUAAGGUAGCGAAAUUCCUUGUCGGGUAAGUUCCGACCCGCACGAAAGGCGUAAUGAUUUGGGCACUGUCUCAACGAGAGACUCGGUGAAAUUUUAGUACCUGUGAAGAUGCAGGUUACCCGCGACAGGACGGAAAGACCCCAUGGAGCUUUACUGCAGUUUGAUAUUGAGUAUCUGUACCACAUGUACAGGAUAGGUAGGAGCCUAUGACCUCGGGACGCCAGUUUCGAGUGAGGCGUUGUUGGGAUACUACCCUUGUGUUAUGGCUACUCUAACCCAGAUAGGUUAUCCCUAUCGGAGACAGUGUCUGACGGGCAGUUUGACUGGGGCGGUCGCCUCCUAAAAGGUAACGGAGGCGCCCAAAGGUUCCCUCAGAAUGGUUGGAAAUCAUUCGCAGAGUGUAAAGGUAUAAGGGAGCUUGACUGCGAGAGCUACAACUCGAGCAGGGACGAAAGUCGGGCUUAGUGAUCCGGUGGUUCCGCAUGGAAGGGCCAUCGCUCAACGGAUAAAAGCUACCCUGGGGAUAACAGGCU